GAUGAACGCUGGCGGCGUGCUUAAUACAUGCAAGUCGAGCGAAGCACUUUAACGGAAUUCUCCGGAAGGAAGGUAAAGUGACUGAGCGGCGACGGGUGAGUAACGCGUGGUAACCUGCCUUAUACAGGGGGAUAACAGUUAGAAAUGGCUGCUAAUACCGCAUAAGCGCACAGGGCCGCAUGGCCCGGUGUGAAAAACUCCGGUGGUAUGAGAUGGACCCGCGUCUGAUUAGGUAGUUGGUGGGGUAACGGCCUACCAAGCCGACGAUCAGUAGCCGACCUGAGAGGGUGACCGGCCACAUUGGGACUGAGACACGGCCCAG
rnacentral:rRNA from 1 species